rnacentral:misc_RNA from 1 species
GUGGUCUACUCCAUCGCAGCACGGCGGACUUGUCCAGUCGCUUCGCCACACAAGAGUUUCGAUGUAAGUUUGUGUGUUUUUGUGUGUGCGUCUUCGGAGUCGGCUUCCGUGUGGAGGCAACGUCUUGAUUGCAACGAAACCAAGGAAAGCGCACAGACAGGCCGCUUUGUUUCGCUGUGGGUGGGGUGGCCUUGGAAAAGGGGAAGGUUAAUCUGCUCAGAUCAUAUUCAAGCAAGCGCACACAUAGAAGGCCGACACACACCUCACACUCAAGCACUCACGCACUCUCACCUCUUGGCCUCAUUGCCAUUCGCUUUCUCUCUUCCUCCUCCUCACGGAGGCUCGCGUCGCUCUCGUUGCCGCGAAUAUUGUUCUGGUGCUCUUAUUCCCCAUAGCUUCGCCAGAAGGCCCUCCUCCCUGGUGCUCGGUCGGUGUGUCUUUGCGGGGCAGCUUCUUUUGGGAUCCUCUUUUGUUUUCGGUGGUGUGAUCGUUCACGUCCUCGCCGCCUUUCCUCCUUUCUCCCUCAUUUGUGACACCCACACCCACUCGCACGCGCACGCACUUUCUCUACAUCACCUUUUUCGUUGUUGUUUUUUGGUACAGUUUUUCUUCUCGUCUCGCUCGUACGUGCCACGGCCUUCAUCGGACCUGUACACCGUACGUGUGUGUGUGUAUGUGUGCUUGUGGUCACGUUCGUGUAGUUCUCGGUUUCCUCCGCAUCGUCACCUCCUCUUUUCUCAUGUGCUCGGCGAGGGGCGUCGUUCAUCUCUGCGCCGUUUUUCUUCUCGGUUUUCCCUUGCACGUAUUUUUGCCGUCUCUCGUUCUCUGGAGUUGUUCUCUUGCGCAAACGCACGCAUAGCACGUAAGAGGGAGUAUGCCCCUUAAUCGAGAGCUGUUGGCGUCCGUGAAGCUGGAGCCCAUGAGUGACUCGGACUGGGUGGAGGAGGGACAUGAUAAAACGAAUGACGGUCGCUCAGCCGGCGCGGACGGCUCCGUGCACCCCGCCUCUGACGCCGACGAGAGUGAGGACCAAAACGCAGCCACCAAGAAUGUGAUUCACUGUCUGAAAAUAGCGCUAGAACGUGGCAUCACGAGUAUCUCGCUGCCCGAGAAGCAGCGGCCGUUAAACCCGCAGAAGGACUUCUCGAUCGAGUCCACCAUGCACUUCAGCGCGUCUCGGCCCGCCAAGGGGAUUACCUGCUGCGGCGCCCAAGCCACAGGUGUGAAGAAGGCGCGCAACCCGCAGAUGAGAGAUGCCCGCUCGUCCAUAAUCGGUGGUGUCUAUCGGCAAGCAAACCGUCCACGGAAUGAUAUGUCGCAGAUUCUCUCCACAGACAAUGCCAUUUUGAACUCCGACGGCGACAUGGACCGGGACUACGGCGGUUUGGCGACUUCUGGUGCAAACUUCGAUACAUCUGUCGCACGCGCGCGCCGUGCCCACCGCUCACUGACAAGGACGCAGACGCUGGCAGACUUCUCGUCGGAUGAUGAGGACGACGAAGACGAGGAGAACAUGCCACCGGUGAGCUUUACCUUUACAGAUUUCUCGCCCAUGUGCUACCGCCACAUCCGCGAGUUCUUCAACGUAGAUCCAAAGGCGUACUGCGAUGUGCUGCGCAACAGCCGCUGGCACAGCAUCCCAACGCCAGGCAAGUCGGCUGCGCAACUUUUUUUCUGCGGUCGCGAUUGGGUGAUCAAGACAAUGACGGAGCAGGAGAGCGACUUUCUGCGCAAGAUCCUGCACCGGUAUUAUUAUCACGUGCGCGACAACCCUUUCACCUUGCUCCCACACUUCGUGGGCCACCAUCGCCUUCGCAUCGGCACGAAAACGCAAAACUUCAUCAUUAUGCAAAACGUCUUUGCCACCACCAACACGAUCCAUGAGAAGUUCGACCUGAAGGGCAGCACCAUCGGCCGCUUUGCCUCGGACGCUGAGAAGCGCCGGACAACGUUUACGCAGAAGGACCUCGAUAUAAACAGCCCGAUGCAUAUUGGCCCGGAGCGGCGGAAUCUGUUGAUCGAGCAAAUCAAGAAGGAUUGCGAGUUUCUGAAGCGAUCCAUGAUCAUGGACUACUCAUUCCUGGUUGGCAUACACGUGUUGCCGUCGGUGGGGGACACCUUGUCCUCCGCGACCUCUGGAGGGUCGCUAGGGAUGCUGACACGCAGUGUAACGGACGGUACACUGCGCACAAACCCGGGUCUGGGGUACACCAUGGGAGGGGAGCGGCCAGAUAAUUCCGGGGCUGAUGGCUCUGAAUUCUCGCGCAACGGGUCCAGGCUGGACGGCCGCUGCUUCACGGCUGAUCAGGGGGGCAUGAUGAGCAACAAGGUGCCUGGGCUGCGACAGGAGAUAUACUACAUCGGCAUCAUUGACAUUUUGCAGGAGUACAACGCGCGUAAAGCGCUCGAGAAUGUUGUGUGGGGGUCCUUGUACGAUCGAAAGCGCAUCUCGUGCGUCCACCCGAACGACUACGCAGGACGAUUCAUCGCGUUCAUGUCAUCCAUCAUUGUCUAGCACAGCCUCGUAGCUGCACCCGGGGGCACGCGGCGAGUCAGCGGCAGAGUGGAAUACGAAUGCGGGCGAUACCGAAAAGCAUGUCGGUGCCGCGCCUGGCACCGUGCGGUUCAUGGCCAUUGUGCACGGUAAUGGAAAUCUGUCACUCUGUCUCUCUGUGUGUUUGUGCCUGUUUCGGUUCACAUCUCCGCCACGGCGUGUGCGAGCGCGGGCCAGAGAACAACAACAAAACGAAAAGGCUGGCCACCUCUGCGGUUUUUUGCCGGCACCGAGGCACGCGCAGACGCGUGCAAACGCAUGAGUGCGUGAAAAGAAGCACCACAACCUGUACUGUACUGUAUUUGUCCUCUCUUUGAGUGCCUCGUGAGCGGGAUGCGCUUGCUUGCUUGCUUCCAGCACCCUCCCCUCCCCACUCGUCUGGAGUGGUUUUGUCGGCUCGGCCCGGACCAACUAGAGAGCGAAGAUGGUAAGGGCAACGACGAAGAUAAAAAGCUUCCGAGCCCCACUCUUGUGCACCUCUUUGCCAACACCUCUUCCCUUUCUCGUGUGCCUUGGCCAUUUUGUGUUUUUGUGGUGGCGUUCAUUCUGCUGUAACACAGAACGG